rnacentral:rRNA from 1 species
UGGGGAAUCUUGCACAAUGGGCGAAAGCCUGAUGCAGCAACGCCGCGUGAGGGACGAAGGCUUUCUGAGUUGUAAACCUCUUUCAGCAGGGACGAUUGUGACGGUACCUGCAGAAGAAGCCCCGGCCAACUACGUGCCAG